GAAAGUCUGACCGAGCAACGCCGCGUGAGUGAAGAAGGUUUUCGGAUCGUAAAACUCUGUUGUUAGAGAAGAACGUUGUGUAGAGUGGAAAAUUACACAAGUGACGGUAUCUAACCAGAAAGGGACGGCUAACUACGUGCCAGCAGCCGCGGUAAUACGUAGGUCCCGAGCGUUGUCCGGAUUUAUUGGGCGUAAAGCGAGCGCAGGUGGUUUAAUAAGUCUGAUGUAAAAGGCAGUGGCUCAACCAUUGUGUGCAUUGGAAACUGUUAGACUUGAGUGCAGUAGAGGAGAGUGGAAUUCCAUGUGUAGCGGUGAAAUGCGUAGAUAUAUGGAGGAACACCGGUGGCGAAAGCGGCUCUCUGGACUGUAACUGACACUGAGGCUCGAAAGCGUGGGUAGCAAACAGGAUUAGAUACCCUGGUAGUCCACGCCGUAAACGAUGAGUGCUAGUUGUUUGGGGCUAUCCAGCCCUAAGUGACGCAGCAAACGCAUUAAGCACUCCGCCUGGGGAGUACGACCGCAAGGUUGAAACUCAAAGGAAUUGACGGGGCCCCCC
rnacentral:rRNA from 1 species